rnacentral:rRNA from 1 species
GGCCGACCGGCGCGACGGGUGAGUAACGCGUAUCCAACCUGCCUUACACUCUUGGACAGCCUUCUGAAAGGGAGAUUAAUACAAGAUGUUAUCAUGAGUAAGCAUUUUCGCAUGAUUAAAGGUAUUCCGGUAGACGAUGGGGAUGCGUUCCAUUAGAUAGUAGGCGGGGUAACGGCCCACCUAGUCUUCGAUGGAUAGGGGUUCUGAGAGGAAGGUCCCCCACAUUGGAACUGAGACACGGUCCAAACUCCUACGGGAGGCAGCAGUGAGGAAUAUUGGUCAAUGGGCGAGAGCCUGAACCAGCCAAGUCGCGUGGAGGAAGACUGCCCUAUGGGUUGUAAACUCCUUUUACCUGGGAAUAACGGGCGCUACGUGUAGCGCUGUGCAUGUACCGGGAGAAUAAGCAUCGGCUAAUUCCGUG